CCUUCGGGUUGUAAAGUACUUUCAGCAGUGAGGAAGGUGGAUAUGUUAAUAGCAUAUUCAUUUGACGUUAGCUGCAGAAGAAGCACCGGCUAACUCCGUGCCAGCAGCCGCGGUAAUACGGAGGGUGCGAGCGUUAAUCGGAAUUACUGGGCGUAAAGCGCAUGCAGGUGGUUUGUUAAGUCAGAUGUGAAAGCCCGGGGCUCAACCUCGGAAUUUGCAUUUGAAACUGGCAAACUAGAGUACUGUAGAGGGGGUAGAAUUUCAGGUGUAGCGGUGAAAUGCGUAGAGAUCUGAAGGAAUACCGGUGGCGAAGGCGGCCCCCUGGACAGAUACUGACACUCAGAUGCGAAAGCGUGGGGAGCAAACAGGAUUAGAUACCCUCGGUAG
rnacentral:rRNA from 1 species